GUGCUUCGGCACAAAUGUUAGAAUUGGAAAAAUACAGAGAAGGGUACCAUGGCCCCUGCACAAGGAUGACACGCACAAAUCGAGAGAUAUGGUUCCAAGUUUUA
rfam:Volvox carteri f. nagariensis unplaced genomic scaffold VOLCAscaffold_47, whole genome shotgun sequence.